CAGCAGUCGCCGCGGGAAUACGUAGGUGGCAAGCGUUGUCCGGAAUUAUUGGGCGUAAAGGGCUCGCAGGCGGCUUCUUAAGUCUGAUGCGAAAGCCCCCGGCUCAACCGGGGAGGGUCAUUGGAAACUGGGAAACUUGAGUGCAGAAGAGGAGAGUGGAAUUCCACGUGUAGCGGUGAAAUGCGUAGAGAUGUGGAGGAACACCAGUGGCGAAGGCGACUCUCUGGUCUGUAACUGACGCUGAGGAGCGAAAGCGUGGGGAGCGAACAGGAUUAGAGACCCCGGUAGUCCCUGUCUCUUAUAA
rnacentral:rRNA from 1 species